rnacentral:lncRNA from 10 species
CCAGGCUGGAGAAUAGUGGUGUGAUCACGGCUCACUGUAGCCUCGACCUCCUCAGGCUCAGGUGAUUCUCCUACCUCAGCCUCCCCAGUAGCAGGGACUACAGGUGCUCACCACCAUACUCAGCUAAUUUUGUAUUUUUUGUAGAGACGGGGUUUCACCAUGUUGCCCAAGCUGGUCUCAAACUCCUGAGCUCAAGCCAUCCACCCACCUCGGCCUCCCCAAAUCCUGGGAUUACAGAUGCGAACUACCGUGCUGGGCCUAAUCUUACUGUUUUAAUGUAAAAAUGGACAGUCUUGAGGAAGACAGAUUGGAAAGCAGAGAGACACAGUGUGAAAUCGCUGCUCUCAGAUCAGCACACGGGAGAGGCCAGCAGUCAGGAGGGGGCUCACCGAGUUUGUCUGCACUCGCUCCCUCCGCAGCCGCCCUCUCCAGCUGGAAGAAGUCGUAAUCGAACCUGCUCAGGUCCUCACUGCCCCACUCCGAAGGAAACCCCACGUACAGGUGAGGUCAGAGGAGUGAAGUGACUUGCCCAAGACCACACAGUGAGUCAGGAGCAGGCCUGUCCCUCCAGCAGUGGUGCCAUGUUGUCCCCAAGCCAUGGUGGCAGAGGAGCUGGUGUGAACGCCCCAUCCUGCCACGUCUGUGAUGUGGGCACCUCACAUGACUGUCCCCUCCCAGCUCUUGGGGGGGACCUAGGACAUUCUGUGAGCCUGCAGGAAAGUUUACCAAAUGCUGCAGCUUUGUCCUGGUGGUGAUGGGCACCCCGUUAACGGCAACCUUGCAUUUGCUAUGUGGAGUGACCGUCACUUUACCGUCGGCAUUUGUGAAGGAAGCGUGUUUAUCUGAAAUUCUAAGAAGAUGAGAGUCAAAGACACCCAGCAAACGGCGGUUUCCGUGAGCAGGGUUGGAGCCCAGGAAGCAAACCAGCACUGCACCCUAGAUUUCAGCCAGAGGACGAAAGCCCUGCCCUCAGCUUUCUCAGACCAGCCCUGGAGUAGGUGGCCCGGGGAGACCUGGGCAGUGUCCCUGCUUGUCCUGCAGACUGUGUGGCUCUGCAGACCUCUAGAUGGAGGAGGCACAAUUCUCUAAUGCUGGACGAGGACACUGAUCAUGGAAACUCACCCCAAACCUUGAAUCGUGAUAGCAUUUGAGGCAGCCUGACCGGUGCCACAUGAACCUGAAAGGAAUCAAGAUAUAAUUUAUUUUGAAAAUAAAUCAGACACUUUCAGAAUU